GUAAGGGGAUGUCGAGGGAAGGAAACGAAGUUAACUGUAGUGCUAGACACUGCACAUGCUAUCUCCUUAAGUCCUCACAGCAAUUCUAUCCGAAUCCUCAUUCCAGUUCGUAGAUGGGGAAACACACUUACCCACUGUCAUGGAGCCAGCCCUUCAGGGAGAUGGGGUUCAAACCUCUCUGGCUGCAAAGGCUGAGCCGUCUCCAGCAUCACAAGGCUUCCUCAAGCAUCUCCAGCAGGGGACAGAGGUGUGGACCUCAAAGCCACACUGUUGUAGUGGCAUGCCUGUUUCAUUCUUUGCAUCUCAUUACUCUCUCUUCCCGUCAUCACAGACCUCCCUGGCCUGUCUGGAUUGUGGGAAGAGGAGAAAACUGUCCCGAGGACUGGAGACCAUACCACACUGAUCUCAGGAGGAGUGAUGGAAGCCUUGCAAAGGGACACCAGGCAAAUCAGAAGCCCAGAGCUGGGCUCUUCAGAGGCAAGUACGAGGAGGCUUUAGGGACAGAGAUGCUGUGGAUAGGA
rnacentral:lncRNA from 1 species